rnacentral:sRNA from 1 species
ACCGAUUAUGUUUAGUACUAGUAUCAAUAUAUAAAUAUAUUGAUGAUAUCCAAGAUAAUAUCUAGACUGAUAUGAUAGUUAUGAUAUUUAUUGAUAUGAUAGUUCGCUACCAGUGGCAGAUAUCUCUUGAUGACAUGGUUAUUUUGUAUGUUAUGGAGCAUGUAUGCACUAUGUCGAUAAAAAAUUAGCAGCUCUUGCUGGGUGUAAUUAGCCUAACCUCCGCGUGUAAUUAUCCAUCCCCAUUGAUUACAUAGAUUACACACAGGAGUGUGUUCUGGACCUCUCCGGUUGCUGUGACUCCACGAGGCCCAAUAGUGAGACAUGACAAGGGUGAUUUGCAAACAGAUUUUCGGAGCCAAUCCCUGUUGGAUGCAGUUUAGCGGAUGGAGACAGGGGGAGGGGUGGGUUAUAUCGAUUUCGCAUUUGGGACAGGCAA